GGCAUCCUGUGUGCAUGGUAUACUAGUCCAUGUUUAGUAUUGCAGUCUGCCUGCGUUUUGCUGGUAGAGUGUUGUGCUCACACGCAGCCUGCAGCCGCAGAGAAACAGGAGUUCAUAGUACUGGUCUAGUGACAUCUCAAGGAUGACAUCUACCACUGAUCAGCCUCCGUACACUCCUACAAGA